rnacentral:rRNA from 1 species
UACGUAGGGUGCGAGCGUUAAUCGGAAUCACUGGGCGUAAAGCGCACGUAGGCGGAUUGCUAAGUCAGGGGUGAAAUCCUGGAGCUCAACUCCAGAACUGCCUUUGAUACUGGCGAUCUCGAGUCCGGGAGAGGUGAGUGGAACUGCGAGUGUAGAGGUGAAAUUCGUAGAUAUUCGCAAGAACACCAGUGGCGAAGGCGGCUCACUGGCCCGGUACUGACGCUGAGGUGCGAAAGCGUGGGGAGCAAACAGG